rnacentral:lncRNA from 1 species
CCUGCACCUCCCGGGGGCACACGCCCUGGAGUCCAGCAGGGCUGGGCUGUGUGAGGGCGGUGUGCUGGUGGAGGGCUGAGCAGAGAAGACCUCAGGAAAUUCUUUUUAUGCUUGUCCUCAGGCACGGCUAAGGAGACAAGCCCACACCAGGCGGGUGAGGUGCCCACAUCCAACCCAGCGCUUGACCACACACCGCACUGGACCUCACCUCUGGGGAAGGUCACAUGGCUCAGGGCCUUGGAGGCGAACCCUCUGCUGCCUCCUGGAACGGGUCCUCUGCCUUUGGGGGCUUAGCUUCCCCCUGGUUCAGACAAUGGCUGUUAACAGCCGGCUGUUAACCAGGACAGAUGGAUGGACGGACUGAUGGCUGGGUUCCUGGAGCAACAUUGGUGGGAAGAUUCUUCUUCUGAAACAAACACUCAGGCUCUCAGAAGGUGGAACGCAAUUGGCCCUAGCUUCAUCCUGGCUGUCACAGAGAAACACAGCAAGAGCAAGUCACCCGUGCGGUCCGUGCCCGGUGCCCACCAGGCCAGCCAGAGCGCAGUCCUCCAAGGUCGGAGCCGUCCGGGCAGGGCAGAGGAGGAGGUGGCAGGGGAGCCAGUCUCCAGGCUCAGGGGAGGGGCCGCAGACAGGCUCCGGGCAGCAUGUGGAGCAGCCGCCCAAGUCUGGUCCUGCAGAAGUGACCUCUCUGAGCAUGGGGCCUGGUGCACAGGUGGGUGGAAACCUGUGAGAAUGGCUGCACCCUGGCUGGCGGGUCCCUGUAGCCCUACCGUGCCUUCUGACCCUUUCACCAGGGGCCUGUGAACCCCACCAGGGCUGGUUGAGGCUCCCCGGGCACCCUCAGACUACCGACUGCAUCAUCCAGAAGGAUGGAGGAGCUGGCCGCACUGGACCUGCAAGGGAAAGAUGCUGGGGGCGCCCACUGAGUGGACGGCUCUGCCCAAGCCCAGAUGGCCUGUCGGCCUUGGAAGGAGGAGGGGCUUUGUAAAGAGGGGACCCCUUGGGCCCGAAGGUGUAAAGUACAGCUUUCAGGGAACACGCGGCUGCCUUGCUGCAGGCCCGCACUCUUUCUACACCCAUACUCCAGCCAGGCCUCUUUCAGCCAAUCUGCCCAAGGUUUGGCCAGAGGAACCAGCCAAACACAUUCCCUCAGGCCCAUCUUAGCCCCAGAGGGCAGACAUGGGCUGGUCGCAGACUGCAAGGGCCGCAGCGAUGGGGACUCAGUCCGCAUGGCGCAUUUCCUAAGGGAGGGAUCUUGGCCUCAAGGGGCACCUAGCCUUGCCCAGCGCUCGAGACCAACUGAUGACCAACCGAGCUUUUUAAAGUAAGUUUUCAUGUAAAUAAUUCAGAUAAGUGAGAAAAG